rnacentral:rRNA from 1 species
GACGAACGCUGGCGGCGUGCUUAACACAUGCAAGUCGAACGGAAAGGCCCUGCUUUUGUGGGGUGCUCGAGUGGCGAACGGGUGAGUAACACGUGAGUAACCUGCCCCUGACUUUGGGAUAACUUCAGGAAACUGGGACUAAUACCGGAUAGGAGCUCCUGCUGCAUGGUGGGGGUUGGAAAGUUUCGGCGGUUGGGGAUGGACUCGCGGCUUAUCAGCUUGUUGGUGGGGUAGUGGCUUACCAAGGCUUUGACGGGUAGCCGGCCUGAGAGGGUGACCGGCCACAUUGGGACUGAGAUACGGCCCAGACUCCUACGGGAGGCAGCAGUGGGGAAUAUUGCACAAUGGGCGGAAGCCUGAUGCAGCAACGCCGCGUGCGGGAUGACGGCCUUCGGGUUGUAAACCGCUUUCGCCUGUGACGAAGCGUGAGUGACGGUAAUGGGUAAAGAAGCACCGGCUAACUACGUG